rnacentral:miRNA from 1 species
UUGAAGGAUUUGUAAGAAAUGUUUGAGAGAACUGAUUCAGUGUUAAACAUCAAGUCAGUUUCCUCAAACAUUUCUUACAAAUCCUUCAA